GAAGCCAGAAUUACUUGCAGGAGUAACCUAGUGCCUAUAGCUAUGGCAGGUACCUGCAUCCUUGUUUUUGUUUAGUGGAUCCUCUAUCCUUCAGAGACUCUGGAACCCCUGUGCUCUUCUCCUCAUCUAGUGACCCUGAGGUGAUGGAGUUUUCAAGUCCUUCCAGAGAGGAAUGUCCCAAGCCUUCGGGUAGGGUGCCUUCAGCCGCUACAAGAGCAGAAGCAGUGGGCAUUGGAUGGAGCUGAGUACAGGACCAUACAGGCUAAUUGCACCGGCACAGUGAAAUAAGAUUUCGCCGCCUAUCAUCUGCUAACUGCUACGGACUCAGGCUCAGAAAGGCCUGCGCUUCACCCAGGAAUCGGAUAUAACAUCAUCUGGGUACCCAUGGCCAGCUGUGACUUCUCCAUCCGCACCUACACCUAUGCAGACACCCCUGAUGAUUUCCAGUUGCACAACUUCAGCCUCCCAGAGGAAGAUACCAAGCUCAAGAUACCCCUGAUUCACCGAGCCCUGCAGUUGGCCCAGCGUCCCGUUUCACUCCUUGCCAGCCCCUGGACAUCACCCACUCGGCUCAAGACCAGGGGAGCGGGGAAUGGGAAGGGGCCACUCAAGGGACAGCCCAGAGACAUCUACCACCAGACCUGGGCCAGAUACAUUGUGAAGUUCCUGGAUGCCUAUGCUGAGCACAAGUUACAGUUCUGGGCAGUGACAGCUGAAAAUGAGCCUUCUGCUGGGCUGUUGAGUGGAUACCCCUUCCAGUGCCUGGGCUUCACCCCUGAACAUCAGCGAGACUUCAUUGCCCGUGACCUAGGUCCUACCCUUGCCAACGGUACUCACCACAAUGUCCGCCUACUCAUGCUGGAUGACCAACGCUUGCUGCUGCCCCACUGGGCAAAGGUGGUACUGACAGACCCAGAAGCAGCUAAGUAUGUUCAUGGUAUUGCUGUACAUUGGUACCUGGACUUUCUGGCUCCAGCCAAAGCCACCCUAAGGGAGACACACCACCUGUUCCCCAACACCAUGCUCUUUGCCUCAGAGGCCUGUGUGGGUUCCAAGUUCUGGGAGCAGAGUGUGCGGCUAGGCUCCUGGGAUCGAGGGAUGCAGUACAGCCACAGCAUCAUCACAAACCUCCUGUACCAUGUGGUCGGCUGGACCGACUGGAACCCAUCAUUGUAGACAUCACCAAGCACACGUUUUACAAACAGCCCAUGUUCUACCACCUUGGCCACUUCAGCAAGUUCAUUCCUGAGGGCUCCCAGAGAGUGGGGCUGGUUGCCAGUCAGAAGAACGACCCGGACGCAGUGGCACUGAUGCAUCCCGAUGGCUCUGCUGUUGUGGUCGUGCUAAACCGCUCCUCUAAGGAUGUGCCUCUUACCAUCAAGGAUCCUGCUGUGGGCUUCCUGGAGACAAUCUCACCUGGCUACUCCAUUCACACCUACCUGUGGCGUCGCCAGUGAUGGAGCAGAUACUCAAGGAGGCACUGGGCUCAGCCUGGGCAUUAAAGGGACAGAGUCAGCUCACACGCUGUCUGUGACUAAAGAGGGCACAGCAGGGCCAGUGUGAGCUUACAGCGACGUAAGCCCAGGGGCAAUGGUUUGGGUGACUCACUUUCCCCUCUAGGUGGUGCCAGGGGCUGGAGGCCCCUAGAAAAAGAUCAGUAAGCCCCAGUGUCCCCCCAGCCCCCAUGCUUAUGUGAACAUGCGCUGUGUGCUGCUUGCUUUGGAAACUGGGCCUGGGUCCAGGCCUAGGGUGAGCUCACUGUCCGUACAAACACAAGAUCAGGGCUGAGGGUAAGGAAAAGAAGAGACUAGGAAAGCUGGGCCCAAAACUGGAGACUGUUUGUCUUUCCUGGAGAUGCAGAACUGGGCCCGUGGAGCAGCAGUGUCAGCAUCAGGGCGGAAGCCUUAAAGCAGCAGCGGGUGUGCCCAGGCACCCAGAUGAUUCCUAUGGCACCAGCCAGGAAAAAUGGCAGCUCUUAAAGGAGAAAAUGUUUGAGCCCA
ensembl:lncRNA GBA1LP glucosylceramidase beta 1 like, pseudogene